rnacentral:rRNA from 1 species
AUACGAAGGGGGCUAGCGUUGUUCGGAAUCACUGGGCGUAAAGCGCGCGUAGGUGGAUCAAUUAGUUGAGGGUGAAAUCCCGGGGCUCAACCUCGGAACUGCCUUCAAUACUGUUGAUCUUGAGACCGAGAGAGGUGAGUGGAAUUCCUAGUGUAGAGGUGAAAUUCGUAGAUAUUAGGAAGAACACCAGUGGCGAAGGCGGCUCACUGGCUCGGUACUGACGCUGAGGUGCGAAAGCGUGGGGAGCAAACAGAAUUAGAUACCCCUGUAGUCC